ACCACCCCCAACCCCCUCCUCUGAAGAGGAGGGGGCUUUGACCUCGGUGCUCCCCCUCCUCUUCAGAGGAGGGGGUCGGGGGGUGG
rnacentral:ncRNA from 23 species